AGCGAACACUGGCGGCAGGCUUAACACAUGCAAGUCGAACGCCCCGCAAGGGGAGUGGCAGACGGGUGAGUAACACGUGGGAACGUACCCUUUGGUUCGGAAUAACUUGGGGAAACUCAAGCUAAUACCGGAUAAGCCCUUAUGGGGAAAGGUUUACUGCCGAAGGAUCGGCCCGCGUCUGAUUAGCUAGUUGGUGAGGUAAUGGCUCACCAAGGCGACUAUCAGUAGCUGGUCUGAGAGGAUGAUCAGCCACACUGGGACUGAGACACGGCCCAGACUCCUACGGGAGGCUGCAGUGGGGAAUAUUGGACAAUGGGGGCAACCCUGAUCCAGCCAUGCCGCGUGAGUGAUGAAGGCCUUAGGGUUGUAAAGCUCUUUUACCCGGGACGAUAAUGACUGUACCGGGAGAAUAAGCCCCGGCUAACUUCGUGCCAGCAGCCGCGGUAA
rnacentral:rRNA from 1 species